UGAAGAGGAGAAACCCUCCUGAAGAGGAGAAACCCUCCCGAAGAGGAGAAACCCUCCCGAAGAAGAGAAACCCUCCUGAAGCUCUUUUGAACAACAUCAUCUCCACGCCACACAUUUUGUGCCAAAGCUCGGCAUUGUACACAGAGCCUUGGAACACACGUGCUCCAUUCUGGGUCUCUACUCAUCACUCUCAGCGUUUGGAGAGGAAGGUAAAAGGGAGGCAUUUUUACUCCCAUCUCAUAUUUGUAUAAUGAGACAGAGGAGGGAACUAAGUGACGACCGGUGGCCGUCAGAGGGCAGGCGGUGGAGUGAAGGAGACAGAAAGUGAGAGAUGAGGGUUUGGAAGUGGAUCUGGAGUUUCUGUUUAUGUAUUCAACUUAUUAGGCUCUUGAGCGGGUCUCAUACAUUUUAUUGAGAAAAUUUAAGUCUUUGGCCCAGUUAUGAAAAGCUGAAAAAUGCAUAACCCAUCUCUUUCUAGACUGGGGUGCACAGUCUGGACUGGCCUCAUGCAUAUUGAUUUACCUGACUCUCCCCCCGCCCACCCCCACCCCACCCCCACCCAGACUCCAUCUCUCUGUCAGUCUCUCUGCAAACACUCCCUUUGGAGGUUGGUGAGGCUCACUUCUCCCUCUCCAGGGAACUCAUCCUGCAUCUCACUCCUCUCUCUUGCCCUGCCCCGCUCUCCUACCCUCCUGCCUGUGGCCCAGCAGGGCUUCGUGCCAGCCCACAGGCCCUACUUCUGUAGCUGCACAAACACCGCUAAGCCCUCCAGGCUCCCAGGAGCUGGGCCUGCCCUCCACGGGAGAUUAAGAGCCACAGUGAGUCAGCAGCCCAGCUGGGCCUCUGUCAGCUGGGGCAUCCCUCGUCUCCUCUCCCCUCUGGACUCCUUCUCCCCGUUCUGCCAGCCCUUAAGACAGCAUCUGCCCCCAUACUGGGCCAGCAGAGUCCCAGCUUGGCCCCUCCCUGCCCCUAUCCCAGCUCUGGAGCUGUCCCGCCAAAUGCCUUGGCCUUUAUGGUUGCCCGUGUCUACAAGGCAGAGAAGCCCGCAGCUAUGUGGUCACAGUGGCAUUCUGGAAGGCUGAGGGAAUAGGAUGUGCCUCCUCUCGGUGGCUGUGACCCUCUGGGUUCAAGGAGGGAGAACUAAACAGCUGCCAAGACUCAUCCGCAGGCCCUGGGUGCCUACACACUUUGAAUCACAGCUACUGUACCGUGCUGAGUCACUGCCAGGAAUCUGAGGAGACAAUAAGCCCCUAUUUUAAAAAGAUUUGCCAGCAUACCCGGGCUUUUACAAAUGCUUGAGAAUUAUUGCCAAAAAUAGAUAUUGGUUUAGGGUCUCCAGUGCUGUCCCGGCAGCUCCGGUGAUGAGGGGCCUGCACCAUGUAUGCAGUCCAAACCUUGCCACAAAGGGGGCCUGGAUGUCAGCAAGCCGGGCACCCCUAGACCCGACACGGGGGGCAUUGUGGACCACGCCUUUGCUGCUCGAGGGGAGGAAGGGGAACCGCAGGAGGAGCUCUUAGUGCCAACUUUGAAGAACAGAGAUUGUGUCUUUGUGCCAACUACUCUGAGUCACUUAAUGCCAUUCCCAUUCACGAGAAGAGAAAAAUCUGGUACACAGGACUAACUAGUUUGAAUUUCCAAUUUCUUGGCAAUCCAAGAAUUUCAGGCUUCUAUAAAUAGCAAGUCCUCCAGUGCUCCCUCCUCUGAUGGGGGCUGCCCCCUUCCAACCUUGUAUUCAUUCAGUGAGCCUUUAGAGAGCUACAGACUAGAGAGCCACCCUGUGCCUCAGAGGUUAUCUCAUGCAACCCCUCACUUAACCGACGAGCAGGGGUGGAACUUGUCCAUGUCACAGAACUAAAUACCAGGUGCCCAGCCCUGGGGCGAACCCUAUAGAGAGGAAGAUGGAAGAGACACAACCUCUUCUCUCAGAGCCCCAGAUUACCGGAGGAAGCAGUCACUUGCUCACAGAGCAACGAUACAAGGGAAAAUGUAAUUCUAUCCAUAAAAAGUUGAAAUGGCCGGGCGCGGUGGCUCACGCCUGUAAUCCCAGGCCUUUGGGAGGCCAAGGCGGGUGGAUCACUUGAGGUCAGGAGUUUGAGACCAGCUUGGCCAACAUGGAGAAACCCCAUCUCUAUAAAAAUCCAAAAAUUAGCCAGGCGUGGUCGUGGGUGCCUGUAAUCCCAGCUACUGGGAGGCUGAGGCAGGAGAAUCACUUGCAACCAUGAGGUGGAGGUUGCAGUGAGCCGAGAUCACGCCACUGCAAUCCAGCCUGCGCGACAGAGCAGGACUCUGUCUCAAAAAAAAAAAAAAAAAAAAAAAAGUUGAAAUGAAGAAUCGUGGGAGAGCAAAGACACCAGGUCAUUCCUGCACAAGGAAUCUGGAAGGAUAUCAUGGGGAAGAGUAUUAGAGUUGACCCUCCAGGGAUGGGUUGGAUUUAGACAUUCAGGGAUAGAAGAAAGGCGAAAGGGAUAUGCAGAUAAAAGAAACAGCUUAAGACAGCAGAGAUGGGAUGUCUAAGGAAUGCAGGCCAGUUUGGCUGUUAUACAGGAUGUUGAAACGAAAUGAUGGGGGUGGGAAGGGGAGUCGGUUACGGGGCUGGAUGAUGGAAGGUACGGAAUGACAGGGUGAGGAAUUUGAACAUCACCAUCAUCAUUAUCAUCUAAAAGCACCAGAUGGCAAGUUGCCAGGCAUCUUACUGAGCACGAUUACUCAUGUAUUGCAGAGUCUGCACUUUAUAGGAACUUGAAAUUUAAGAAAGAAUAAAAUUAUGGGCAGAUAUUGAAGCUAUAUAUUAUACAUAAAUGAAAGUUAUUUAACACAUAAGUAUUUCAGUGUAAGUAAAGGAGCAAGUGCAUUUAAUGGACUAGUGAGGGAAGAAGGCAUCUGGGAAUUUGUUCCUGGAAGGGAUCCCUCUAUCCUCAGCCUCCCCUGUGUUCGGCAGCUCUGGGAAAGGCCCAGAAAAGCAGAGAUAGCAGUCUUGAUAUUAGACACUGACUUAGUGUGGCUUUGUGUCUUCUAGAUGGCUGAUUUCUGAGAAGGAACAGUUCAUUCUUAGUCGUUGCUCCAGCUCUCCUUUAAGUCCAGUCCUGAGAUUAUAGCCCAUAGAGGAACACAGAUUGGAGAGGACAGGGAGAUGGUGGACAGGGCCCACGGAGUACCGCUGUGCAGGUUAUCUACUGCACAAGAAGUGGCAAAAGAAGGCAUGUGCAAGAAGCGAUGCACAGGAUGCUUAGUGCAGCACUGCUGUAAGAAAACACUGGAAAAGCCGGGUGCGGUGGCUCAAGCCUGUAAUCCCAGCACUUUGGGAAGCCAAGUUGGAUGGAUCACAAGCAAGAAGAAAGGCCUUCCUGCUUUGAAGGGCAAAUGCAUUCAUUCACAAUCGGGUGUUAAAUACCCACUGUAGGCCAGUUGCUGUUGGAGAGAAAAAAAUGAAUGCUGCCAGCUGCAUCGUGGAGGCUCUCUCUGUCUAGUAGAGGAGACAAGACUUGUAAACCAGGGUGCGUCAUAGGAAGUUGGAUAAAAGGAUCCGAGGAAGGCCAGCUGGCUGCAGAUAAUGGCAGAUCCGGGAGUCCUGGCUUGUGGUGGAGGACAAAGUGUGGGAGAGAUCAGUCAAGGAGAGCGUUGAUGGGAUGAGAAGAGGAAAGAAGCUCACUCUGGAAUCUCUCAGGAUCCAACAGAGCAGGAAGAGACCUAGGGAAAGAGGCCAGGAUUUCAUUUCCCUAGGACAGUCACAGAAGAGUCAACAGAGGAUUCGGUUCUGGCACCUCCACCCCAAACUUGGGCUCCUCUCUUCCAAGGGCGGGAGGGCCCUCUGAUUCUGUUUGUGCAGCUGGCACUGGCCACGCAGAGCUGCCUCUGGGAGUUGACUGGGUAGGCAGGAACAAGCAGACAGGGCCUCAGCUGCAGCGUGGAGGUGGGUGGAUGUACCUGGACACGCAGGAUACCAGGGCUGCUAACAGCAUCCUCUGACUGGCCUAGGGUGGUCAUGUCCACGGUGCUGGUGCUCUGCCCCUUUGCCUUCAUGGUGUUGUCUGCUGGCUUCUUCCCAAUAGUUUCUUUUGAGACGCAAAUUCUCCAGGCCACAGAAGAGAAGAGAAGGAGCAGACACGUCCUCCGGCCUGUGUGUGAACGCAGGACUUCGGUUCACCCGUGGUGAGCGGCAGGCACCUUCUACAACCCUGAAUUAAAGGCUCCUUCAAUAUAGAUUUUUGUCUUUAUGUCACUCAGAUGUCAUUUUUCCAUGAAUAAAGGGCAAGCUGAGUCUAGCCUUCAAGGACUCCAUGAUUUGGCUCCAGAUUGCUGAGCUGUGCCUGUUAGCUUCAACGUGUGUCUCCUGAUCCAUUCUCCACCCUCUGUCAUCCUGCUCUCCCCCAAGAGGCUGACCCAGAGCGGCUCCCUGGCUUCUGUUGGGCUCAGCCAAAGGGAAGCUCUAGGACACCUGAGGAAGGGAGGACUGUGAGGUCGCGGGAUCUCAGUGUGGAUCCUGGUUUUAUGGCCAAAGCUUACAGUAUUACCAGCCCACAAUUAUGAACAAAAUGUUAGAUACGAAAGUGAAUCUCCAUUUAGAAUGAGAAAAGAAAUGGUGACAAAUUACACUUUUUAAAAAGCUUACAAACAACACAGAUAUCACAAAAUGUAGAAAAAUAACGAUAUUUUUCUUAGUUGCCUAGAAAACUCUACAAUACCUUUUCCCAUAUCUUCCUGCUGCAAAUACUUCACGUCUCAUACAACAACUGUGUAAU